rnacentral:rRNA from 1 species
AUGAACGCUGGCGGCGUGCUUAACACAUGCAAGUCGAACGAAGCACCUCUCCCGAAGAUUGCCACAGCUUGCUGUAGAUUGAUUCAUUUGAGGUGACUGAGUGGCGGACGGGUGAGUAACGCGUGGGUAACCUGCCUCAUAGAGGGGGACAACAGUUGGAAACGACUGCUAAUACCGCAUAGUAAGAAGAAUUCGCAUGUUUUCUUCUUGAAAGAUUUAUCGCUAUGAGAUGGACCCGCGUCUGAUUAGCUAGUUGGUAAGGUAACGGCUUACCAAGGCGACGAUCAGUAGCCGGCUUGAGAGAGUGAACGGCCACAUUGGGACUGAGACACGGCCCAAACUCCUACGGGAGGCAGCAGUGGGGAAUAUUGCACAAUGGGGGAAACCCUGAUGCAGCGACGCCGCGUGAGUGAAGAAGUAUUUCGGUAUGUAAAGCUCUAUCAGCAGGGAAGAUAAUGACGGUACCUGACUAAGAAGCCCCGGCUAACUACGUG